AUGAUCCAUAAGGUCCCUUCCAGCUCUGCAGUUCUUAGACUAUGAUGAUAUCUUCACAAGAACUCAUGGAGUAGCUGGAGAUAUAGAUAAGGCCUCUCAUGAACUUCAUGACUGUGUAGGUGGAAAAUAAGUCUUCCAAAUGCAUUCUUUCCAGGAGGGGUUUUUAAUAAAGAAGAGGCACCGAAAGGUUUAACGUUUCACUGGAAGAAAUUAUGCCAACGUGUCCAGUUGUAUGAAAGAUGGAUAUUAUCUCUUGUGACUGUUACUGAUCACACAGACGCAAAACCAAAACAAAUGCAAACACCAACAUGCACGGAAAGGAAGCCCUGCAAGCAUCAGGCCUCAAAAUGUCACCGAACUAGUACAAUAACUCUGUUUAUAUCAUCAGUUGUAACUCUUCUGCAACUUUUAAAAAAAUAAUAUCAGUAGCUAAUGUGAUCAGAGAGUAAUCUUGUUCACCUCAAUCAAUAAAACACAGAGUCUUGUAUCA
rnacentral:lncRNA from 1 species